rnacentral:rRNA from 1 species
UACGGGGGGGGCAAGCGUUGUUCGGAAUUACUGGGCGUAAAGGGCUCGUAGGCGGCCAACUAAGUCGGGUGUGAAAUCUCGGGGCUUAACUCCGAAACUGCAUUCGAUACUGCCGUGCUUGAGGACUGGAGAGGAGACUGGAAUUUACGGUGUAGCGGUGAAAUGCGUAGAUAUCGUAAGGAAGACCAGUGGCGAAGGCGGGUCUCUGGACAGUUCCUGACGCUGAGGCGCGAAAGCUAGGGGAGCAAACAGG